rnacentral:rRNA from 1 species
CCUACGGGUGGCAGCAGUGGGGGAUAUUGCACAAUGGGGGAAACCCUGAUGCAGCGACGCCGCGUGGGUGAAGAAGCGCCUCGGCGCGUAAAGCCCUGUCAGCAGGGAAGAAAAUGACGAUACCUGAAGAAGAAUACCCGGCUAACUACGUGCCAGCAGCCGCGGUAAUACGUAGGGGGCAAGCGUUAUCCGGAUUUACUGGGGGUAAAGGGGGCGCAGACGGCGAUGCAAGCCAGGAGUGAAAGCCCGGGGCCCAACCCCGGGACUGCGUUUGGAACUGCGUGGCUAGAGUGCAGGAGGGGCAGGCGGAAUUCCUGGUGUAGCGGUGAAAUGCGUAGAUAUCAGGAGGAACACCGGUGGCGAAGGCGGCCUGCUGGACUGCAACUGACGUUGAGGCCCGAAAGCGUGGGGAGCAAACAGGAUUAGAUACCCCAGUAGUC